GACGAACGCUGGCGGCGUGCUUAACACAUGCAAGUCGAACGGAAAGUCCCUGCUUUUGUGGGGUGCUCGAGUUGCGAACGGGUGAGUAACACGUGAGUAACCUGCCCUUGACUUUGGGAUAACUUCAGGAAACUGGGGCUAAUACCGGAUAGGAGCUCCUGCUGCAUGGUGGGGGUUGGAAAGUUUCGGCGGUUGGGGAUGGACUCGCGGCUUAUCAGCUUGUUGGUGGGGUAGUGGCUUACCAAGGCUUUGACGGGUAGCCGGCCUGAGAGGGUGACCGGCCACAUUGGGACUGAGAUACGGCCCAGACUCCUACGGGAGGCAGAAGUGGGGAAUAUUGCACAAUGGGCGGAAGCCUGAUGCAGCAACGCCGCGUGCGGGAUGACGGCCUUCGGGUUGUAAACCGCUUUCGCCUGUGACGAAGCGUGAGUGACGGUAAUGGGUAAAGAAGCACCGGCUAACUACGUG
rnacentral:rRNA from 1 species